rnacentral:rRNA from 1 species
UGGGGAAUAUUGCACAAUGGGCGCAAGCCUGAUGCAGCCAUGCCGCGUGUAUGAAGAAGGCCUUCGGGUUGUAAAGUACUUUCAGCGAGGAGGAAGGCGGUAAGGUUAAUAACCUUAUCGAUUGACGUUACUCGCAGAAGAAGCACCGGCUAACUCCGUGCCAGCAGCCGCGGUAAUACGGAGGGUGCAAGCGUUAAUCGGAAUUACUGGGCGUAAAGCGCACGCAGGCGGUCUGUCAAGUCGGAUGUGAAAUCCCCGGGCUCAACCUGGGAACUGCAUUCGAAACUGGCAGGCUAGAGUCUUGUAGAGGGGGGUAGAAUUCUAGGUGUAGCGGUGAAAUGCGUAGAGAUCUGGAGGAAUACCGGUGGCGAAGGCGGCCCCCUGGACAAAGACUGACGCUCAGGUGCGAAAGCGUGGGGAGCAAACA